rnacentral:lncRNA from 1 species
GCAACACAAUCAUUAAAAAUGAGGAUUUUGGAGGAAUGUCUUGUAUCGUUUUGGCAAGUAACCGUAUAAUAAGCUGCAUCUCCAAAAUUACGAUGCUGAUGUCACAGUUGGAAAUGUUCCACUGCAACGUUCCAUUGCAGCUUUGCGGCACCUUCAGAAAAAUCCAAACAGGGCAAGAGCGCUUGCGAAUACGAUCAAAAACUCUUCCUACUAAAAAUACGUUUUCUGUGUGUAAAUUGUAGGCCUUCUUGUAUUUCUUGUUGAAAUAUCUACAUUUCUGGAGAAAUCGCAAGAAAAGAAUGACAUAGGACUCCUUCAUGUGUAGCCUUUGUAGACUAUUUUGAGCCCAAUAUCCUCUCUCUGUGAUACCUCAGAUCCUUUUGUGGAAUAGGGAGACAACCUCGACUUCAGUGGCAGUGCUGGGCUUUGGAGUGAUCACUGCAUCCUCCAGGGACCUGUCCUGUGGACAGAGUAGCAUGACUCAAGAGGUCCUCGGGAGUGGAAAUGGCAGCACAUUUCAAAACCUCCCUAACAAUAAUGAUCCGAUGACUCCCAAGAAAAUUCUAGAGGAUGAAAGUCAGCCUGCUCUGACAAUCAAAAGAGAAAGUGGAAGCGGGAAUGUGGAGAGCAAGCCAGAUGUCUCAGACAGAGUCUUUUUCACAGGCAAGUUUGAGGAGCUGUACAAAGCAAUGGCACAGCUCAGAGAAACAGUUAACAAACUGGAAAGAAAAUUGGAGAGAGGACAAGUCCACAGUAUGGGAGGCAGGAAUAGACAUACAUGUGAAGGACACGGUGUACAGGAGAGGGCUGAGUCAGAGAGUGAGGAGGAGGGCGCUGUAGUGGGAAGAUGGAUUACUCUGAAGGAUCGGCAGGUAGUGACAGAAAAAGAAAAAGGCGAGAACACGAGGAGAGAGAGAGAGAGAGCGCUGGAGCUUCGAAAGGAACUCUUGCUGCUGGAAUUGCGAGAGGUGGGGCGAGCAAGCCACCUGUCAGAGGUGCAGCGGAAGAGGGAACUCAUGAGGAUCCUGAACCGAAGAGAGGAGGAGAUACGGUUCCUGGGAGAGAACCGCAAGGCUGCCCUUGAGAAACAGAGGGAAAUGGGACACAAGAAAGUGAGCAGAAGGGUAAAGAAAGGGAAAAAGGGGGAGAAGUUGGAGGAGAAUCAUGAUGACAUGGUCCAGGUGAAGAGAGAGAGUGGAUCUGAGGAGAGAAAGAAAACUUCCGAGAGAAACAAAGUGGAGCAGCUGACGAAAGACCGGGAGAGGGAUGAUGACAUGGACGUGCUUCUGAGAGAAAUGGAGGAGGAGGAGGAGCGUGAGGCAGAGCAGGCUCAGCCAAGGGUCACCCAGAUGAGCAAUAAGGAGGAGCUCAGACAAAGACAUGGGAAAAAACUGACUGACACGGAGAGUGAAAAGGAUUUGGGUAAUCCACAGAGAAAGCAAGGUCAUGAGAGAGGAGAAAAUGACUCGAAGACAAAAGAAGGGGCAGAGAACAUGAAGAUUCAGAUGAAGAGGAGGAUGGAGGAACGUCUGAGAGAGCAGGACAGACUGAGAGCUGAAUCAGGUAUCCCGGAAGAGGA